rnacentral:tRNA from 3 species
GGCGCCAUCGUCUAGUGGUGAGGACAUCAGGUUUUCAUCCUGAGAACAGGGGUUCGAUUCCCCUUGGCGCUACGA